UUGGAAGAGAGUUAAAAAGCACGUGAAAUUGUUGAAAGGGAAGGGAUUGCAACCAGACUUGCUCGCGGUGUUCCGCCGGUCUUCUGACCGGUCUACUCGCCGCGUUGCAGGCCAGCAUCGUCUGGUGCCGCUGGAUAAGACUUGAGGAAUGUAGCUCCCUCGGGAGUGUUAUAGCCUCUUGUGAUGCAGCGAGCGCCGGGCGAGGUCCGCGCUUCGGCUAGGAUGCUGGCGUAAUGGUUGUAAUCCGCCCGUCUUGAAACACGGAACCAAGACGACG
rnacentral:rRNA from 1 species